rnacentral:rRNA from 1 species
AUUGAACGCUGGCGGCAGGCCUCACACAUGCAAGUCGAACGAGUGGCGGACGGGUGAGUAAUGUCUGGGAAACUGCCUGAUGGAGGGGGAUAACUACUGGAAACGGUAGCUAAUACCGCAUACCAUCGGAUGUGCCCAGAUGGGAUUAGCUAGUCGGUGGGGUAAAGGCUCACCUAGGCGACGAUCCCUAGCUGGUCUGAGAGGAUGACCAGCCACAAUGGAACGGAGACGCAGGCCAGACUCCUACGGGAGGCAGCAGUGGGGAAUAUUGCACAAUUGGCGCAAGCCUGAUGCAGCCAUGCCGCGUGUAGGAAGAAGGCCUACAGGUUGUAAAGUACUUUCAGCGGGGAGGCGUUACCCGCAGAAGAAGCACCGGCUAACUCCGUGCCAGCAGCCGCGGUAAUAC